UACGUAGGGUGCGAGCGUUAAUCGGAAUUACUGGGCGUAAAGGGUGCGCAGGCGGUUUCGUAAGCUGGGUGUGAAAGCCCCGGGCUUAACCUGGGAAUGGCAUUCAGGACUGCGAGGCUUUGAGUGUGGCAGAGGGAGGUGGAAUUCCACGUGUAGCAGUGAAAUGCGUAGAGAUGUGGAGGAACACCGAUGGCGAAGGCAGCCUCCUGGGCCAGCACUGACGCUGAUGCACGAAAGCGUGGGGAGCAAACAGG
rnacentral:rRNA from 1 species